GACGAACGCUGGCGGCGUGCUUAACACAUGCAAGUCGAACGGAAAGGCCCUGCUUUUGUGGGGUGCUCGAGUGGCGAACGGGAGAGAAACACGUGAGUAACCUGCCCGUGACUUUGGGAUAACUUCAGGAAACUGGGGCUAAUACAGGAUAGGAGCUCGUGCUGCAUGGUGGGGGUUGGAAAGUUUCGGCGGUUUGGGAUGGACUGGCGGCUUAUCAGCUUGUUGGUGGAGUAGUGGCUUACCAAUGCAUUGACUGGUAGCCGGCCUGGGAGGGUAACCGGCCACCUUGCGACUGCGGUACGGCGCAGUCGGCUAUGUGAGACAGUAGUCGGAAAUAUUACACAAUGGGCGGGAGCCUGUUGCGGCGGCGCUCCGUGCGGGAUGCCGUCCUUCUGGUUAUGAACCGCUUUCGCCUUUGACGAAGCGUGAUUGACGGUAAUGGGUAAAGAAGCACCGGCUAACUACGUG
rnacentral:rRNA from 1 species